rnacentral:rRNA from 1 species
UACGGAGGGUGCGAGCGUUGUCCGGAAUCAUUGGGCGUAAAGGGCGCGUAGGUGGCGACCCAAGUCGAUGGUGAAAGCUCGCCGCUCAACGGCGAGUCGGCCACCGAUACUGGGUUGCUCGAGCACUGUAGAGGCUAAUGGAAUUCCGGGUGUAGCGGUGGAAUGCGUAGAGAUCCGGAAGAACACCGGUGGCGAAGGCGGUUAGCUGGGCAGUUGCUGACACUGAGGCGCGACAGCGUGGGGAGCAACAGG